rnacentral:rRNA from 1 species
AGUACGCACGGGUGAGUAACGCGUGGGAACCUAUCCCGGGGUGGGGGAUAACCACUGGAAACGGUGGCUAAUACCGCACGAUCUAAGGCAAAGCAGCGCCCUGGGAGGGGCCCGCGUCCGAUUAGCUAGUUGGCGGGGUAAGAGCCCACCAAGGCGGUGAUCGGUAGCUGGUCUGAGAGGAUGAUCAGCCACACUGGGACUGAGACACGGCCCAGACUCCUUUGGGAGGCAGCAGUAGGGAAUAUUGGACAAUGGGCGCAAGCCUGAUCCAGCCAUGCCGCGUGAGUGAUGAAGGCCUUAGGGUUGUAAAGCUCUUUCGCACGCGAGGAUUGACGGUAGCGUGAGAAGAAGCCCCGGCUAACUUCGUGCCAGCAGCCGAGGUAAUACGAAGGGGGCUA